rnacentral:lncRNA from 1 species
UCGUGGUUAUCAAGAAGUGCAGUUAUCAAAGCAGUUAUUGAAGCAGCCCUAUCACAUUCCACGAUUCAAGGAAUUCAAUCGAAAGCGGUUGAACGAUGAAGGGUAAUGGCAGCAGUUAAAAGGCAGUUUUCAUGACAAAGUGGCCAUUACGAAGAAAGUGGGUAGUUAUAGGACGAUCAAGCAGUUUUUAGAGUAGUUGAUCACAAAGAGAUCGUCUAUGAAAUAUAAAAGGGAGAAAGGACAUAGAAGCAAAGGACCGAAUCCAAAACUCUCGA